UACGGGGGGAGCAAGCGUUGUUCGGAUUUACUGGGCGUAAAGGGCGCGUAGGCGGCCUCCGCAAGUCAGUUGUGAAAUCUCCGGGCUUAACUCGGAACGGUCAAGUGAUACUGCUGUGCUAGAGUGCGGAAGGGGCAACUGGAAUUCUUGGUGUAGCGGUGAAAUGCGUAGAUAUCAAGAGGAACACCUGCGGCGAAGGCGGGUUGCUGGGCCGACACUGACGCUGAGGCGCGAAAGCUAGGGGAGCGAACGGG
rnacentral:rRNA from 1 species